rnacentral:rRNA from 1 species
AAAUGAAUAGACGGGGGCCCGCACAAGCGGAGGAACAUGUGGUUUAAUUCGAUGAUACGCGAGGAACCUUACCCGGGCUCGAACGGUAGCGGAAUAAUAUAGAGAUAUAUUAGUCAGCAAUGACUGCUAUCGAGGUGCUGCAUGGUUGUCGUCAGCUCGUGCCGUGAGGUGUCGGCUUAAGUGCCAUAACGAGCGCAACCCUUGUUGUUAGUUGCCAGCGGGUAAAGCCGGGCACUCUAACGAGACUGCCACCGUAAGGUGUGAGGAAGGGGGGGAUGACGUCAAAUCAGCACGGCCCUUACGUCCGGGGCGACACACGUGUUACAAUGGGUGGUACAGAGGGCAGCUACACAGCGAUGUGAUGCCAAUCUCCAAAACCACUCUCAGUUCGGAUUGGAGUCUGCAACUCGACUCCAUGAAGUUGGAUUCGCUAGUAAUCGCACAUCAGCCAUGGUGCGGUGAAUACGUUCCCGGGCCUUGUACACACCGCCCGU